UUGUCAAAUAUUACCUCAAGAGUUUCAGAUUCUUGGGAUCAUCAUCCCUAUCUAGGAUCCAAUUCAGGGAACUUGAAAGGUCCUUCACCAUCCUUCAGUGCCCAUGUUGGAGUCUGGCAAAUGUCCUAAUGUCUGUAAAAUCGAAUUAGUUUCAUGAACAGAACAAUCCAAGUCCUGAUUGACUGCAUAGUGGGAUGCUAGUAAAUCUUACUGAACGG
rnacentral:lncRNA from 1 species